rnacentral:rRNA from 1 species
UACGAAGGGGGCUAGCGUUGUUCGGAUUUACUGGGCGUAAAGCGCACGUAGGCGGAUUGUUAAGUCAGGGGUGAAAUCCCGGAGCUCAACUCCGGAACUGCCUUUGAUACUGGCAAUCUUGAGACUGGAAGAGGUUAGUGGAAUUCCCAGUGUAGAGGUGAAAUUCGUAGAUAUUGGGAAGAACACCAGUGGCGAAGGCGGCUAACUGGUCCAGUACUGACGCUGAGGCACGAAAGCGUGGGGAGCAAACAGG